rnacentral:rRNA from 1 species
UACGGAGGGAGCAAGCGUUAAUCGGAAUUACUGGGCGUAAAGCGCACGUAGGCGGCUUGGUAUGUCGGGUGUGAAAUCCCCGGGCUCAACCUGGGAACUGCAUCCGAAACUGCCUUGCUAGAGUAUGGGAGAGGGAAGUGGAAUUUCCGGUGUAGCGGUGAAAUGCGUAGAUAUCGGAAGGAACAUCAGUGGCGAAGGCGACUUCCUGGACCAAUACUGACGCUCAGGUGCGAAAGCGUGGGGAGCAAACAGG